ensembl:miRNA
AGGACCCUUCCGGAGGGCCCCCCCCAAUCCUGUUGUGCUUGGUUCAGAGGGUUGGGCGGAGGCUUUCCUGAAGGGUCUG